rnacentral:rRNA from 1 species
GGGGUGGCUCGAGUGGCGAACGGGUGAGUAACACGUGAGUAACCUGCCCUUGACUUUGGGAUAACUUCAGGAAACUGGGGCUAAUACCGGAUAGGAGCUCCUGCUGCAUGGUGGGGGUUGGGGAAGGUUUCGGCGGUUGGGGAUGGACUCGCGGCUUAUCAGCUUGUUGGUGGGGUAGUGGCUUACCAAGGCUUUGACGGGUAGCCGGCCUGAGAGGGUGACCGGCCACAUUGGGACUGAGAUACGGCCCAG